rnacentral:misc_RNA from 1 species
CUUGAGUUCGCGGGAGAGUAGGUUAUUGCCAGGGUUUUUAUUUUGUACUUUAAAUCCUAAAUUUAUUUUUUAUAUUUUUAUAAUGUUCAUGUUUUUGAAUGUUUUAUUCAAAUAAUGUAAAAAAUAAAAUAGAUAUUGACAUGGAUUGAACAAAAGAUAUAUAUUAUUUUAUGUUGCAUAAACAAAUUGGCAAAAUAGAGAUGGAAGAUAAAAAUAUGGUCAAAGUAAUAAGAGUCUAUGGUGAAUGCCUAGGAGCUUUAAGGCGAAGAAGGUCGUGGUAAGCUGCGAAAAGCUUGGGGGAGAAGCAAACAUUUAUUUGAUCCCAAGAUUACCGAAUGGAUAAUCCAA